UCCAUAACCUCCACAGUGAUACCUUUCCUAGGCCCUCAGCAACUGUAUUAUCCCUGGUCUGGCUGUCAAAAAUUUGUUACAUAUUAUAAGAGUAGAAAGAAAAGAGAUCUCAUUAUGUCAAGGUGGAGAGUAUCAGUGGGUGGGUACUUGGAAGAAUAUGAUUCCAACAUUAACUUGAAAAAUCAGCACAUUUGCUUUGUAAGUAGUUAGACCGUGAAGAUGAGGUCAUCUGGAACGAGAUGCUAGAUCCAACAGUGAUCUGAAAAAUAAUACUCUAGAGUAAAAUUUUGUUAUAUUUUAAGGCUUAUAUCAACUUCCUUUAUUUUCAGAAAUGCACACAGACAAUUAAAAAAAAAAAAAAAGAUAAUAGAGGAAUAGCAGUACAGAAGACUCAAAGUACCCAUUGUCUUAUGGAAACAGAAAGUGAACAUGCAGGUGUUUAGAAGUAAUAUUAUGAGGACCGCUCUGAAAGUAAUACCUCCUCUUUUAUUAUGUUGGUUCAUGAUGUCAAGAGGAAAUCUGUGGUAUGACAGUAGAAGUUGAACAUUUCUGCCAGUAUUCCAUUACAUUUUGUUGAUGUGCAACAGUGCACCCACUGACAUUCAUAGACAUUUGCUGAACAAACAGUGGGUGGUGUGUUACAGCAGUGGCAACAGCAAGGUGAAAGACAUGUUCUAGGUGGCCAUUCGUAACUACCACACCAUGAAAGGAAGAGUGUCUUGAUCAGUUCAUACACGUCAUCAGGGAAUUCUGACCACAGAACUGCGUAUGGAGCUGAAUAUAAUCUUCGGUACAUUGGAAAUGGUGACAGUGUUGGAGUAUUGCAAAGUCUUCACCAGAUGAUUUCCCACAGGAAUAGAAAAAACACCAUAUGCAAGUUUGUCAGGACCUGUUGAACAAAUAUGAGGCUGAAGGUGACAGUUUCCUGGAUCACAUCAUUAUUGCUGACAAGGCAUAGUGUCACCACUAUGAGCUGGAGUCAAAAACAGCAGUUCUUGGAGUGAUGACAUGCAAAUUCCUUAUUGAAAUAAAAGUUCAAGAUGCAGCCUUCCAUAGGUAAAGUAUUUUGCAUUGUCUUCUGGGAUAGAAAAGGAGUGAUCCUUCUGGAUUUCCUGGAAUCUGGACAAACCACCAGUUCUGAUCACUACAUUGUGAUGCUGACUAAGCUGAAGGCUUGAACUUACAGUGCGAGACCAGAGAAGACAACUUUGCUCUUGUAACACAAUAAUGUCAGCCCUCGUGCCAGUUUGAAGACCACAGAGCACACUGCCAAUCUUGGCUGGAUUGUCUGACCACACCCACUUUAUGGUCCAGAUUUGGCACCUUCUAUCUUACAUCUGUUUGGUCUGAUGAAUGAUGGACCCUGUGGACAACAUUCUCCUAACAAUGACUCCAUCACAGCUGUGAAACAGUGGGUCACCUCCCUGGUUUAGAUUUUUACAAGCACAACAUGCAGACUCUUGUUCAUCACUGGCAAA
ensembl:lncRNA